GACGAACGCUGGCGGCGUGCUUAACACAUGCAAGUCGAACGGAAAGGCCCUGCUUUUGUGGGGUGCUCGAGUGGCGAACGGGUGAGUAACACGUGAGUAACCUGCCCUUGACUUUGGGAUAACUUCAGGAAACUGGGGCUAAUACCGGAUAGGAGCUCCUGCUGCAUGGUGGGGGUUGGAAAGUUUCGGCGGUUGGGGAUGGACUCGCGGCUUAUCAGCUUGUUGGUGGGGUAGUGGCUUACCAAGGCUUUGACGGGUAGCCGGCCUGAGAGGGUGACCGGCCACAUUGGGACUGAGAUACGGCCCAGACUCCUACGGGAGGCAGCAGUGGGGAAUAUUGCACAAUGGGCGGAAGCCUGAUGCAGCAACGCCGCGUGCGGGAUGACGGCCUUCGGGUUGUAAACCGCUUUCGCCUGUGACGAAGCGUGAGUGACGGUAAUGGGUAAAGAAGCACCGGCUAACUACGUGCCAGCAGCCGCGGUGAUACGUAGGGUGCGAGCGUUGUCCGGAUUUAUUGGGCGUAAAGGGCUCGUAGGUGGUUGAUCGCGUCGGAAGUGUAAUCUUGGGGCUUAACCCUGAGCGUGCUUUCGAUACGGGUUGACUUGAGGAAGGUAGGGGAGAAUGGAAUUCCUGGUGGAGCGGUGGAAUGCGCAGAUAUCAGGAGGAACACCAGUGGCGAAGGCGGUUCUCUGGGCCUUUCCUGACGCUGAGGAGCGAAAGCGUGGGGAGCGAACAGGCUUAGAUACCCUGGUAGUCCACGCUGUAAACGGUGGGUACUAGGUGUGGGGUCCAUUCCACGGGUUCCGUGCCGUAGCUAACGCUUUAAGUACCCCGCUGGGGAGUACGGCCGCAAGGCUAAAACUCAAAGGAAUUGACGGGGCUCCGCACAAGCGGCGGAGCAUGCGGAUUAAUUCGAUGCAACGCGUAGAACCUUACCUGGGUUUGACAUGGAUCGGGAGUGCUCAGAGAUGGGUGUGCCUCUUUUGGGGUCGGUUCACAGGUGGUGCAUGGCUGUCGUCAGCUCGAGUCGUGAGAUGUUGGGUUAAGUCCCGCAACGAGCGCAACCCUUGUUCACUGUUGCCAGCACGUUAUGGUGGGGACUCAGUGGAGACCGCCGGGGUCAACUCGGAGGAAGGUGGGGAAGACGUCAAGUCAUCAUGCCCCUUAUGUUCAGGGCUUCACGCAUGCUACAAUGGCUGGUACAGAGAGUGGCGAGCCUGUGAGGGUGAGCGAAUCUCGGAAAGCCGGUCUCAGUUCGGAUUGGGGUCUGCAACUCGACCUCAUGAAGUCGGAGUCGAUAGUAAUCGCAGAUCAGCAACGCUGCGGUGAAUACGUUCCCGGGGCUUGUACACACCGCCCGUCAAGUCAUGAAAGUUGGUAACACCCGAAGCCGGUGGCCUAACCGAUGUGGGGGAGCCGUCGAAGGUGGGACUGGUGAUUAGGACUAAGUCGUAACAAGGUAGCCGU
rnacentral:rRNA from 1 species